GUAGAUCAGCAUGCUACGGUGAAUACGUUCCCGGGUCUUGUACACACCGCCCGUCACACCACGAGAGUUUGUAACACCCGAAGCCGGUGGAGUAACCAUUUGGAGCUAGCCGUCGAAGGUGGGACAAAUGAUUGGGGUGAAGUCGUAACAAGGUAGCCGUAUCGGAAGGUGCGGCUGGAUCACCUCCUUUCUAAGGA
rnacentral:rRNA from 1 species